AGAGUUUGAUCAUGGCUCAGAUUGAACGCUGGCGGCAUGCUUUACACAUGCAAGUCGAACGGCAGCACGGGAGCUUGCUCCUGGUGGCGAGUGGCGAACGGGUGAGUAAUGCACCGGAACGUACCCAGUAAUGGGGGAUAACACAUCGAAAGAUGUGCUAAUACCGCAUACGCCCUGAGGGGGAAAGCGGGGGAUCGUAAGACCUCGCGUUAUUGGAGCGGCCGAUGCCGGAUUAGCUAGUUGGUGAGGUAAGAGCUCACCAAGGCGACGAUCCGUAGCUGGUCUGAGAGGACGACCAGCCACACUGGGACUGAGACACGGCCCAGACUCCUACGGGAGGCAGCAGUGGGGAAUUUUGGACAAUGGGCGCAAGCCUGAUCCAGCCAUGCCGCGUGAGUGAAGAAGGCCUUCGGGUUGUAAAGCUCUUUCGCAAGGAAAGAAAACUUAUCUACUAAUACUAGGUGAGGUUGACGGUACCUUGAUAAGAAGCACCGGCUAACUACGUGCCAGCAGCCGCGGUAAUACGUAGGGUGCGAGCGUUAAUCGGAAUUACUGGGCGUAAAGCGUGCGCAGGCGGUUUUGUAAGUCAGAUGUGAAAUCCCCGGGCUCAACCUGGGAACUGCGUUUGAAACUACAAGGCUAGAGUGUAGAAGAGGGGGGUAGAAUUCCACGUGUAGCAGUGAAAUGCGUAGAGAUGUGG
rnacentral:rRNA from 1 species